rnacentral:rRNA from 1 species
AUUGAACGCUGGCGGCAGGCUUAACACAUGCAAGUCGAGUGAGCGGCGGACGGGUGAGUAAUGUCUGGGAAACUGCCAGAUGGAGUGGGAUAACUACUGGAAACGGUAGCUAAUACCGCAUACCUUCUGAUGUGCCCAGAUGGGAUUAGCUAGUAGGUGGGGUAAUGGCUCACCUAGGCGACGAUCCCUAGCUGGUCUGAGAGGAUGACCAGCCACACGCGAACUGAGACACGGUCCAGACUCCUACGAGAGGCAGCAGUGGGGAAUAUUGCACUAUGGGCGCAAGACUGAUGCAGGCAUGCCGCGUGUGUGAAGGAGGCCUUCGGGUGGUAAAGCACUUUCAGCGAUGAGGCGUUACUCGCAGAAGAAGCACCGGCUAACUCCGUGCCAGCAGCCGCGGUAAUUC